GACGAACGCUGGCGGCGUGCUUAACACAUGCAAGUCGAACGGAAAGGCCCUGCUUUUGUGGGGGGCUCGAGUGGCGAAAGGGUGAGUAACACGUGAGUAACCUGCCCUUGACUUUGGGAUAACUUCAGGAAACUGGGGCUAAUACCGGAUAGGAGCUCCUGCUGCAUGGUGGGGGGUGGGAAGUUUCGGCGGUUGGGGAUGGACUCGCGGCUUAUCAGCUUGUUGGUGGGGUAGUGGCUUACCAAGGCUUUGACGGGUAGCCGGCCUGAGAGGGUGACCGGUCACAUUGGGACUGAGAUACGGCCCAGACUCCUACGGGAGGCAGCAGUGGGGAAUAUUGCACAAUGGGCGGAAGCCUGAUGCAGCAACGCCGCGUGCGGGAUGACGGCCUUCGGGUUGUAAACCGCUUUCGCCUGUGACGAAGCGUGAGUGACGGUAAUGGGUAAAGAAGCACCGGCUAACUACGUG
rnacentral:rRNA from 1 species